rnacentral:rRNA from 1 species
CGUAGGCGGUCUCUUAAGUCCGAUGUGAAAUGCGGGGCUUAACCCCGGAUGGCCAUUGAUACCGGAAAUAUUGAAUGGCAGAAAAGAAAGGGGAAUUUCCAUGGGUACCGUGAAAUGGCUUAAAUUUGGGGAGAACCCCCGUGGGCAAAGGCCCUUUCUUGGCUGGGUCUGAACCUUAAAGGUCAAAACCAUGGGAAGCAAACGGGUUUAAUUCCCCUGGAAUCCCGGCCCUUAACCAAGGAUUCUUAGUGGUUGAGGGAUCUACCCCCUUCGUGGCUGAGUUAAACCCAUUAAUACCCCCCCCGGGGAAUUCCAUCCGCAGAUUUGAACUUCAAAGAAUUUGACGGGGGCCCCCCCAACCGGGGAAUCAUGGGGUUUAUUUCACACCACCCCGAAAAACCUUACCAGGUCUUGACUUCCUUUGAACACCCUAAAAAUGGACCCCUUCCUUCGGGGCACAAAAACCAGGGGGUGCAGGGU